GUGGCCGAAAAGAAGUGAGUUUUUGUUUGACUUUUUCAUGAUAACAUUAACCAUCAGAAUUGAGACACGUGGCAAAGAUUAAAAAAAAAAGAAAAAACAAAAUAGUAGUACACAAUAUAAAAACAAAAGAGAAAAUGUCGUACAUAGUCUUCUUCUCCAUCUUUUUCACGGAUCUGAAUCCUUCCUCACAAACACAGAUGAAAUCAAAACAAACACCAACAUAAUUUCACAUCUAAACACAAUUAUUCAUAGAAAUUACAUCAUAAUGAUGGUGGAAUAAAGAUUACCGGUACCGAAAAUUGCUCAGGGAGAUCGCCCGUCGCGGUUAUGCGGUGUUUCCGUGGUGGCUGGCCGGAGGGGUGUGUGGAUCUCGUCGGCGAUCUGGCGAAUCGCUGAAGCGUCGUUGUUGGUUGUUGUUGCUUUGAUUGAAUGAAGGUUUUUCAUGGAUGUGUGACAUUUACAGGUUGAGUGGUUUAGAUUGUAUUUACAGGUUAGUUGUAAUGGCAAUAUUGGGUGUAUUGUGAAAGUUUGGUGAUUAGUGAAAAGGAAAAUGUAUGUUUUUGGUUUAAGAAUGGUGGUAAUGCUUUGAGCUUUGUGUUUAAAUGGUGAUGAAGAUUGGUUGUUAGUGUAAUGUGGUUUAUGAAUUUUUGGUUGGUGGAAUACGUGAGGAUACGUGUAUGAGUGUUAGAGAGUUAAUUCGGAAAGGUUAGUGAGGAUGGCGGCCAGUUUGUGGUGAAUAUGUUAGUAGUGGUGGACCAGAAUUGUGAGAAAAUUGUCACUGUACGUGAAAGUUUUUUUUUUGUAGUGAGUAUGUAUGCAGUUUUGGGGUAGAUCGAAAUUGUCAGUGUGGAAAUAUGUACGUGAUAGUGUCCUCCUUUUAUCGUCCAAAAGAAACAUCCAACAUGGAAUCAAUUUAAAAACACAGGUUAAAUGUCAUUAAGUUUUGGUAUUCAUGUGGUUUCCAUCUUGAUUUUUACUCUUGGAAUAUUGCUUUGGAAAGAAAUAAAAUGUUUUGAAAAUGUUAUUGAUGUUGUCGGGUGUAUAUUUUAGAAAAGUUAAAGACUUGAUUUUGUGGUUAAAUGAUAUUAAAAUAAAAAAUU